rnacentral:rRNA from 1 species
GACGAACGCUGGCGGCGUGCCUAAUACAUGCAAGUAGAACGAUGAAGCCGGGGCUUUUUGUUUUGGUGGAUUAGAGGCGAACGGGUGAGUAAUACGUGAGUAACCUGCCCUUGUCUUUGGGAUAAGCCUGGGAAACUGGGUCUAAUACCGGAUAUUCUGCUUCUGCCGCAUGGUGGGGGUUGGAAAGAUUUUUUGGAUGGGGAUGGGCUCACGGCCUAUCGGCUUGUUGGUGGGGUGAUGGCCUACCAAGGCGUCGACGGGUAGCCGGCCUGAGAGGGUGACCGGCCACAUUGGGACUGAGAUACGGCCCAG